rnacentral:rRNA from 1 species
AGUGAACGCUGGCGGUAGGCCUAACACAUGCAAGUCGAACGGCAGCACAGUAAGAGCUUGCUCUUACGGGUGGCGAGUGGCGGACGGGUCAGGAAUACAUCGGAAUCUACUUUUUCGUGGGGGAUAACGUAGGGAAACUUACGCUAAUACCGCAUACGACCUACGGGUGAAAGCAGGGGAUCUUCGGACCUUGCGCGAUUGUAUGAGCCGAUGUCGGAUUAGCUAGUUGGCGGGGUAAAGGCCCACCAAGGCGACGAUCCGUAGCUGGUCUGAGAGGAUGAUCAGCCACACUGGAACUGAGGCACGGUCCAGACUCCUACGGGAGGCAGCAGUGGGGAAUAUUGGACAAUGGGCGCAAGCCUGAUCCAGCCAUACCGCGUGGGUGAAGAAGGCCUUCGGGUUGUAAAGCCCUUUUGUUGGGAAAGAAAAGCAGCAGGUUAAUACCCCGCUGUUCUGACGGUACCCAAAGAAUAAGCACCGGCUAACUUCGUG